rnacentral:rRNA from 1 species
UACGGGGGGGGCAAGCGUUGCUCGGAAUCACUGGGCGUAAAGGGUGCGUAGGCGGGUCUUUAAGUCAGGGGUGAAAUCCUGGAGCUCAACUCCAGAACUGCCUUUGAUACUGAGGAUCUUGAGUCCGGGAGAGGUGAGUGGAACUGCGAGUGUAGAGGUGAAAUUCGUAGAUAUUCGCAAGAACACCAGUGGCGAAGGCGGCUCACUGGCCCGGUACUGACGCUGAGGCACGAAAGCGUGGGGAGCAAACAGG